AUGGUGGUAACGGGUAACGGGGUGUUAGGGCACGACACCGGAGAGGGCCUGAGAAACGGCUACCAAAUCCAAGGAAGGCAGCAGGCGCGCAAAUUACCCAAUCCCGACACGGGGAGGUAGUGACAAUAAAUAACAAUACAGGGUCCUUUCGGGUCUUGUAAUUGGAAUGAGUACAAUUUAAAUCUCUUAACGAGGAACAAUUGGAGGGCAAGUCUGGUGCCAGCAGCCGCGGUAAUUCCAGCUCCAAUAGCGUAUAUUAAAGUUGUUGCAGUUAAAAAGCUCGUAGUUGAAUUUCGGGAUCAGUGCGUCGGUCGUGCCUUGGGUACGUACAGCGUCAUUGAUUCCUCCCUUCUGAAGAACCGUGAUGUCAUUAAUUUGGUGUUACGGGGAAUCAGGACUGUUACCUUGAAAAAAUUAGAGUGUUUAAAGCAGGCUAACGCUUGAAUACAUUAGCAUGGAAUAAUGAAAUAGGACGUUCGAACCUAUUUUGUUGGUUUCUAGGAUCGACGUAAUGAUUAAUAGGGAUAGUUGGGGGCAUUAGUAUUCAAUUGUCAGAGGUGAAAUUCUCGGAUUUAUUGAAGACUAACUACUGCGAAAAAGGAUGUCUUCAUUAAUCAAGAACGAAAGUUAGGGGAUCGAAGACGAUCAGAUACCGUCGUAGUCUUAACCAUAAACUAUGCCGA
rnacentral:rRNA from 1 species